AUUGAACGCUGGCGGCAGGCCUAACACAUGCAAGUCGAGCGAGCGGCGGACGGGUGAGUAAUGUAUGGGGCCUGCCCGAUAGAGGGGGAUAACUACUGGAAACGGUGGCUACUACCGCAUACUAUCGGAUAACCCAUAUGGGAUUAGCUAGUAGGUGGGGUAAAGGCUCACCUAGGCGACGAUCUCUAGCUGGGCUGAGAGGAUGCUCAGCCACACUGGGACUGAGACACGGCCCAGACUCCUACGGAGGCAGCAGUGGGGAAUAUUGGACAAUGGGCGCAAGCCUGAUACAGCCAUGCCGCGUGUAUGAAGAAGGCCUUCGGGUUGUAAAGUUCUUUCGGUAGCGAGGCGUUAACUACAGAAGAAGCACCGGCUAACUCCGUGCCAGCAGCCGCGGUAAUUC
rnacentral:rRNA from 1 species